UACGAAGGGGGCUAGCGUUGUUCGGAAUUACUGGGCGUAAAGCGCGUGUAGGCGGGUCUUUAAGUCAGAGGUGAAAUGCCAAGGCUCAACCUUGGAACUGCCUUUGAUACUGGAGAUCUUGAGUCCGGGAGAGGUGAGUGGAAUUGCGAGUGUAGAGGUGAAAUUCGUAGAUAUUCGCAAGAACACCAGUGGCGAAGGCGGGUCUCUGGGCCGAAAUUGACGCUGAGGAGCGAAAGCGUGGGGAGCAAACAGG
rnacentral:rRNA from 1 species